rnacentral:piRNA from 1 species
UAGCAAGGGCAUCAAACUAUUGGAC